UACGUAGGGUGCGAGCGUUGUCCGGAAUUAUUGGGCGUAAAGGGCUCGUAGGCGGUUUUGUCACGUCGGGAGUGAAAACUCGGGGCUUAACCCCGAGCCUGCUUCCGAUACGGGCAGACUAGAGGUAUGCAGGGGGAGAACGGAAUUCCUGGUGUAGCGGUGAAAUGCGCAGAUAUCAGGAGGAACACCGGUGGCGAAGGCGGUUCUCUGGGCAUUACCUGACGCUGAGAAGCGAAAGCGUGGGGAGCGAACAGG
rnacentral:rRNA from 1 species